rnacentral:lncRNA from 1 species
UGUGGUUACAAAAGUUUGUUUUAAAAGGGACAAUUUACACCCUCUUCAAAUAAAACAAUAUUUUCUUCUCAAAACAAAAACAUUAAACAUACAUUUUACUUUAUGAAAAGCUAAAAUAUGUACAUUCUUUACAUAAAUGCUCCCCCCGAUCAGUAUGUUCCCUCUCUCUGACUCAGUAUUUCCAUUUUCCAACUAUUGCUCAUAUUUUUAGAGGAUAUGAUCCAGGUAAUGACGUAAUUUUUUUGUAAAUUAAAUUCUAGUGAUAAUUUGACCCCAGUGGAUAUUGAGUGUCUUACAGUCUAAUUUUGUGUAUAUUGUUCAAGGAAACAGAUUUCAGAGAUCUCCACUUCCGGGAAAGCUAUUAGAUGUAAUUUAGCAGCAAAGAAGACUUGGCUGUUAAUGGCUGUGACUGGCAUGUGAGAAGAGUGAGGAGAAAUGACUUCAGUGGCCCCACAGGAGUUCGGAGCAGAGAACAGGGCAUCAUCAGGUCUGGCACUGUUCUUGAGCACCAAGUCCCUCGUCUACCACCACAGGCUGUAAGCGCAGGUUGAGGCGGCUCCGCGUGAGGCGAUCGAAAACUGCACAGAAACAGCGAGAACUGGACUACUGAGCUUUUGCAAGAUGGCGCCCCCGCCGACACCCGCGCGAAGGAGAGCAGCGAGGUGAAUCGUCCCUCUUUCCUCCCGUCGUGAACAGCGCUGUACUCCUGUGAAGCCUGCUUGCGCCGUUGCUGUACUUUACACCUGACUUUUGUUACCUAGUGGGGAAAACACUGACAUAUCGGACUAGACUGUGCAUGAACCAAGGCAAUUUACGUGACGCUCUAACUUUACUCCCCAGUGUAACUAUCAGCAUUAGAAUCUGUCAUACAUAGAACAUACUGUUAACUGACAGGAAUAUUGUAAAAUUUCUAAUUUAAUAUAUUACCCUUAGACUCACCUCUUUCCUCAGUAACUAUUUUCUGGUCCAAUCGAUUUCUAAUGUAUUUUAAAAUACGUUCAUAUGAAAAUAAAAGUUCUAACA